rnacentral:rRNA from 1 species
UACGGGGGGGACGAGCGUUGUCCGAAGUUACUGGGCGUAAAGCGCGCGUAGGCGGGUUGGCAAGUCUGCUGUGAAAGCCCGGGGCUUAACCCCGGAGGGUCGGUGGAUACUGCCAGUCUUGAAGGUGCUAGGGGGAGAUGGAAUUACCGGUGUAGCGGUGAAAUGCGUAGAUAUCGGUAGGAACACCAGUGGCGAAGGCGGUCUCCUGGGGCACUCUUGACGCUGAGGCGCGAAAGCCAGGGGAGCAAACGGG